ensembl:lncRNA
UUUUCUUUAAAAAAUUAAACAAUGAAGCAUUGACAUGCACAAAAAGGAUGUUAUCUGAUAUAUAAUUUGACAUUAAUAAAUAUAAAUGUAUAUAUAUGGAUGUGGAUAUGAGAUGAGGAUGAGCCGGCGCAGUGAGAGGAUCGACCCACUCGCACCUGUUGACCGGAUUCCGGAUUUUCCAGGUUAAAAUGUAAAAUGGCGACAAACCGGAAAUGAAACAGGUGGACGUUCUCAACCCUGACGGUUUACUCCGGUGAUUUGUUUUUGUGUGAAGAAAGUGGAGUUUGUUUUCUUUUUCCUGCCGGAUAAACCCGCAAACAGAGGCAGUAAGUCAGCGCUGUGAGCUCUGCUCCUCUUCAGUGGGGCUGUUUUAUAAACUCUGCUUGGACGGGAAUGAGAAACUCCGCAUAAACAAGCGGAGCGACUUUCUUCACCACACGGUAACUUCACUUUAAAUAUGAUCUCUGAGCUGAACACGGUGUCGGGACACGAACACCACAAGACUGAAGUGUGUCAUGCAAAGUGUUCAGACUUCAGGUUUUGUAUAUAAGGAAGUCCCGUGCUUACAUUUGAACCCUUACAGUGGUGUGUGUGUGUGUGUGUGUGUGUGUGUGACAGUGUUGUCUCUCUGUGUGUGUGACAGUGUUGUCUCUGUGUGUGUGUGUGUGUGACAGUGUUGUCUCUCUCUGUGUGUGUGUGUGUGUGUGUGUGUGUGUGUGUGUGUGACAGUGUUGUCUCUGUGUGUGUGUGUGUGUGUGUGAGACAGUGGUGUCUGUGUGUGUGUGUGUGUGUGUGUGACAGUGUUGUCUCUGUGUGUGUGUGUGUGACAGUGGUGUGUGUGUGUGACAGUGUUGUCUCUGUGUGUGUGACAGUGUUGUGUCUCUCUCUCUCUGUGUGUGUGUGUGUGUGUGUGUGUGUGUGACAGUGUUGUCUCUCUCUGUGUGUGUGUGUGUGUGUGUGUGUGUGUGACAGUGUUGUCUCUCUCUCUGUGUGUGUGUGUGUGUGUGUGUGUGACAGUUGUGUGUGUGUGUGUGACAGUGGUGUCUCUGUGUGUGUGUGUGACAGUGGUGUCUCUGUGUGUGUGUGUGUGACAGUGGUGUGUGUGUGUGUGUGACAGUGUUGUCUCUGUGUGUGUGACAGUGUUGUCUCUGUGUGUGUGACAGUGUUGUCUCUGUGUGUGUGUGACAGUGUUGUCUCUGUGUGUGUGUGUGACAGUGUUGUCUCUGUGUGUGUGACAGUGUUGUCUCUCUGUGUGUGUGUGUGUGACAGUGUUGUCUGGGGGUGUGACAGUGGUGUGUGUGUGUGUGUGUGACAGUUGUGUGUGUGUGUGUGUGUGUGUGUGUGACAGUUGUGUGUGUGUGUGUGUGUGACAGUUGUGUGUGUGUGUGUGACAGUGGUGUCUCUGUGUGUGUGUGUGACAGUGGUGUCUCUGUGUGUGUGUGUGUGACAGUGGUGUGUGUGUGUGUGUGACAGUGUUGUCUCUGUGUGUGUGACAGUGUUGUCUCUGUGUGUGUGACAGUGUUGUCUCUGUGUGUGUGUGACAGUGUUGUCUCUGUGUGUGUGACAGUGUUGUCUCUGUGUGUGUGACAGUGUUGUGUGUGUGUGUGUGUGUGACAGUGGUGUCUCUGUGUGUGUGACAGUGUUGUCUGUGUGUGUGUGUGUGACAGUGUUGUCUCUCUGUGUGUGUGUGUGACAGUGUUGUCUCUGUGUGUGUGUGACAGUGUUGUGUGUGUGUGUGUGUGUGAGACAGUGUUGUCUGUGUGUGUGACAGUGUUGUCUGUGUGUGUGACAGUGGUGUGUGUGUGUGUGUGUCUCUGUGUGUGUGACAGUGGUGUCUGUGUGUGUGUGUCUGUGUGUGUGUGACAGUGGUGUCUCUGUGUGUGUGUGUCUGUGUGUGUGUGACAGUGUUGUUUCUGUGUGUGUGACAGUGUUGUCUCUGUGUGUGUGUGUGUGACAUUGUUGUCUCUGUGUGUGUGUGUGUGACAGUGUUGUCUCUGUGUGUGUGUGUGUGUGACAGUGUUGUCUCUGUGUGUGUGACAGUGUUGUCUCUGUGUGUGUGACAGUGUUGUCUCUGUGUGUGUGACAGUGUUGUCUGUGUCUGUGUGUGUGUGUGUGACAGUGUUGUCUGUGUCUGUGUGUGUGUGUGUGACAGUGUUUGGUGUCUCUGUGUGUGUGACAGUGUUGUCUGUGUGUGUGUGUGUGACAGUGUUGUCUCUGUGUGUGUGUGUGACAGUGUUGUCUCUGUGUGUGUGUGUGUGACAGUGUUGUCUCUGUGUGUGUGUGACAGUGUUGUGUGUGUGUGUGUGUGUGAGACAGUGUUGUCUGUGUGUGUGACAGUGUUGUCUGUGUGUGUGACAGUGGUGUGUGUGUGUGUGUGUCUCUGUGUGUGUGACAGUGGUGUCUGUGUGUGUGUGUCUGUGUGUGUGUGACAGUGGUGUCUCUGUGUGUGUGUGUGUCUGUGUGUGUGUGACAGUGUUGUUUCUGUGUGUGUGACAGUGUUGUCUCUGUGUGUGUGUGUGUGACAUUGUUGUCUCUGUGUGUGUGUGUGUGUGUGACAGUGUUGUCUCUGUGUGUGUGUGUGUGUGACAGUGUUGUCUCUGUGUGUGUGACAGUGUUGUCUCUGUGUGUGUGUGACAGUGUUGUCUCUGUGUGUGUGACAGUGUUGUCUGUGUCUGUGUGUGUGUGUGUGACAGUGUUGUCUGUGUGUGUGUGUGUGUGUGACAGUGUUGUCUCUGUGUGUGUGUGUGUGUGUGACAGUGUUGUCUCUGUGUGUGUGUGUGUGUGUGUGUGUGACAGUGGUGUCUGUGUGUGUGUGUGUCUGUGUGUGUGUGACAGUGUUGUCUCUGUGUGUGUGACAGUGUUGUCUCUGUUGGUGUGUGUGUGUGUGUGUGUGUGUGUGACAGUGUUGUCUGUGUGUGUGUGUGUGACAGUGUUGUCUGUGUGUGUGUGUGACAGUGGUGCCUGUGUGUGUGUGACAGUGUUGUCUCUCUGUGUGUGUGUGACAGUGUUGUCUCUGUGUGUGUGUGUGUGUGUGUGACAGUGUUGUCUCUGUGUGUGUGUGUGUGUGUGUGACAGUGUUGUCUCUGUGUGUGUGACAGUGUUGUCUCUGUGUGUGUGACAGUGUUGUCUCUGUGUGUGUGUGUGUGUGUGUGUGUGUGUGUGUGUGUGUGUGUGUGACAGUGGUGCCUGUGUGUGUGUGACAGUGGUGCCUGUGUGUGUGUGACAGUGUUGUCUCUGUGUGUGUGUGUGACAGUGUUGUCUCUGUGUGUGUGUGUGUGUGUGUGUGUGUGACAGUGGUGCCUGUGUGUGUGUGACAGUGUUGUCUGUGUGUGUGUGUGUGUGACAGUGUUGUCUCUGUGUGUGUGACAGUGUUGUCUCUGUGUGUGUGUGUGUGUGUGUGUGACAGUGUUGUCUCUGUGUGUGUGACAGUGUUGUCUCUGUGUGUGUGACAGUGGUGUCUGUGUGUGUGUGUGUGUGUGACUGGUGCCUCUGUGUGUGUGUGACAGUGGUGCCUGUGUGUGUGUGUGUGUGUGACAGUGUUGUCUCUGUGGGUGACAGUGUUGUCUCUGUGUGUGACAGUGUUGUCUCUGUGGGUGACAGUGUUGUCUCUGUGUGAGACAGUGUUGUCUGCGCGCGCGUGUGUGACAGUGUUGUCUCUGUGUGUGUGUGAGACAGUGUUGAAUCAGGACUGCAGUGUUCAGGCUUAUUCUUACAGGCUUGAAUUAAUUAACCGUAUUCAUUUAACCCAUACGGUAUAGAAGUAACGCUUAUGUAACUGCUGUGUAGUUAACCUGUACAAUGUUGAUUCAUGUAUGUGUGUGUGUGUGUGUAUAUAUGUGUAUAUAUAUAUAUAUAUAUAUAAUAUAUGCGCACACACAUUAACUAUGUCUAAGUAUUGAGUUCACCCAUAAUAGGUUAAAAUAACUCUUGCAGUGCUCAAUUAAACGCAUGUAGUGUUGAAUUAACC